GGUGAGAUGGCCGAGUUGGUUAUGGCGUAAGAUUAAGGUUCUUAUGGAGCAAUCCGCCUGGGUUCGAGUCCCAGUCUCAUCA
rnacentral:tRNA from 2 species